CUACGGGCGGCACCAGUGGGGAAUAUUGGACAAUGGGGGAAACCCUGAUCCAGCAAUGCCGCGUGUGUGAAGAAGGCCUGCGGGUUGUAAAGCACUUUCGGUUGGGAGGACUGCUUCUAGCACUAAUAUUGUUGGAAGUUGACGUUACCUUCAGAAGAAGCACCGGCUAACUCCGUGCCAGCAGCCACGGUAAUACGGAGGGUGCAAGCGUUAAUCGGAAUUACUGGGCGUAGAGCGCGCGUAGGCGGCUAGAUCAGUCGGGUGUGAAAGCCCCGGGCUUAACCUGGGAACUGCAUCCGAUACUGUCUAGCUUGAGUACAGGAGAGGAGAGUGAAAUUCCACAUGUAGCGGUGAAAUGCGUAGAUAUGUGGAGGAACACCAAUGGCGAAGGCAGCUCUCUGGCCUGAUACUGACGCUGAGGUGCGAAAGCGUGGGGAGCAAACAGGAUUAGAUACCCGUGUAAGUC
rnacentral:rRNA from 1 species